rnacentral:rRNA from 1 species
AGCUCCAAUAGCGUAUAUUAAAGUUGUUGCGGUUAAAAAGCUCGUAGUUGGAUCUGCGGCCUAGCGAGCCGGUGUUCCCGCAGGGUUCUACUGGUUUCGCAGGCCUACCUCGUUGGUUUUCCCCUGGUCCUCUUCACUGAGUGCCUUGGGUGACCAGCAAGUUUACUUUGAAAAAAUUAGAGUGCUCAAAGCAGGCGCGAUGCCUGAAUAGUGGUGCAUGGAAUAAUGGAAUAGGACCUUGGUUCUAUUUUGUUGGUUUUCGGAGCGCGAGGUAAUGAUUAAGAGGGACAGACGGGGGCAUUCGUAUUGCUGCGUUAGAGGUGAAAUUCUUGGAUCGCAGCAAGACGGACAACUGCGAAAGCAUUUGCCAAGAAUGUUUUCAUUAAUCAAGAACGAAAGU